rnacentral:rRNA from 1 species
UCUCCCCCCCUUAGGUCCCCUCGGGGCGCCCGCCAGCGGCCAGCGAGCCGCCCGAACUUAUCAAUCAACAGCAACCGUUCCGUCUGAGCAACAAACAAAAAUUAGCAAAACUUUCAACAACGGAUCUCUUGGCUCUGGCAUCGAUGAAGAACGCAGCGAAAUGCGAUACGUAAUGCGAAUUGCAGAAUUCAGCGAGUCAUCGAAUCUUUGAACGCACAUUGCGCCCGCCAGCAUUCUGGCGGGCAUGCCUGUCCGAGCGUCAUUUCCCCCCUCAGCGCGCUCUCGCGCUGGCGUUGGGGCUCCUCCGCCCCCCCGGGGCGGCAGGGCCCUCAAAACCAGUGGCGGGCCCAGCUGGUGGCUCCGAGCGCAGUACCGAACGCUUUGUUCUCCUCUCGCUCUGCAGCUCCGGCCGGCGCUCUGCCGUCAAGCCGCGCGGGUGGCCAGCGUCUUUUCGCUGCCGCCCCGCACUUUGUACCAAGGUGACCUCGGAUCAGGUA